rnacentral:rRNA from 1 species
CUUACACAUGCAGUCGAGCGGGGGAGGUUGCUUCGGUAACUGACCUAGCGGCGGACGGGUGAGUAAUGCUUAGGAAUCUGCCUAUUAGUGGGGGACAACAUUCCGAAAGGAAUGCUAAUACCGCAUACGCCCUACGGGGGAAAGCAGGGGAUCUUCGGACCUUGCGCUAAUAGAUGAGCCUAAGUCGGAUUAGCUAGUUGGUGGGGUAAAGGCCUACCAAGGCGACGAUCUGUAGCGGGUCUGAGAGGAUGAUCCGCCACACUGGGACUGAGACACGGCCCAGACUCCUACGGGAGGCAGCAGUGGGGAAUAUUGGACAAUGGGGGGAACCCUGAUCCAGCCAUGCCGCGUGUGUGAAGAAGGCCUUUUGGUUGUAAAGCACUUUAAGCGAGGAGGAGGCUACCGAGAUUAAUACUCUUGGAUAGUGGACGUUACUCGCAGAAUAAGCACCGGCUAACUCUGUGCCAGCAGCCGCGGUAAUACAGAGGGUGCAAGCGUUAAUCGGAUUUACUGGGCGUAAAGCGCGCGUAGGUGGCCAAUUAAGUCAAAUGUGAAAUCCCCGAGCUUAACUUGGGAAUUGCAUUCGAUACUGGUUGGCUAGAGUAUGGGAGAGGAUGGUAGAAUUCCAGGUGUAGCGGUGAAAUGCGUAGAGAUCUGGAGGAAUACCGAUGGCGAAAGCAGCCAUCUGGCCUAAUACUGACACUGAGGUGCGAAAGCAUGGGGAGCAAACA